GCCUGGGUGGCUCAAUCAGUUAAGCAUCUGACUUCAGCUCAGGUCAUGAUCUCACGGCUUGUGGGUUUGAGCCCUCCCUCAGGCU
rnacentral:tRNA from 1 species